rnacentral:rRNA from 1 species
UUAAGUUGCAGGGUAUAGACCCGAAACCCGGUGAUCUAGCCAUGGGCAGGUUGAAGGUUGGGUAACACUAACUGGAGGACCGAACCGACUAAUGUUGAAAAAUUAGCGGAUGACUUGUGGCUGGGGGUGAAAGGCCAAUCAAACCGGGAGAUAGCUGGUUCUCCCCGAAAGCUAUUUAGGUAGCGCCUCGUGAAUUCAUCUCCGGGGGUAGAGCACUGUUUCGGCAAGGGGGUCAUCCCGACUUACCAACCCGAUGCAAACUGCGAAUACCGGAGAAUGUUAUCACGGGAGACACACGGCGGGUGCUAACGUCCGUCGUGAAGAGGGAAACAACCCAGACCGCCAGCUAAGGUCCCAAAGUCAUGGUUAAGUGGGAAACGAUGUGGGAAGGCCCAGACAGCCAGGAUGUUGGCUUAGAAGCAGCCAUCAUUUAAAGAAAGCGUAAUAGCUCACUGGUCGAGUCGGCCUGCGCGGAAGAUGUAACGGGGCUAAACCAUGCACCGAAGCUGCGGCAGCGACGCUGAUGCGUUGUUGGGUAGGGGAGCGUUCUGUAAGCCUGUGAAGGUGUGCUGUGAGGCAUGCUGGAGGUAUCAGAAGUGCGAAUGCUGACAUAAGUAACGAUAAAGCGGGUGAAAAGCCCGCUCGCCGGAAGACCAAGGGUUCCUGUCCAACGUUAAUCGGGGCAGGGUGAGUCGACCCCUAAGGCGAGGCCGAAAGGCGUAGUCGAUGGGAAACAGGUUAAUAUUCCUGUACUUGGUGUUACUGCGAAGGGGGGACGGAGAAGGCUAUGUUGGCCGGGCGACGGUUGUCCCGGUUUAAGCGUGUAGGCUGGUUUUCCAGGCAAAUCCGGAAAACUAAGGCUGAGGCGUGAUGACGAGGCACUACGGUGCUGAAGCAACAAAUGCCCUGCUUCCAGGAAAAGCCUCUAAGCAUCAGGUAACAUCAAAUCGUACCCCAAACCGACACAGGUGGUCAGGUAGAGAAUACCAAGGCGCUUGAGAGAACUCGGGUGAAGGAACUAGGCAAAAUGGUGCCGUAACUUCGGGAGAAGGCACGCUGAUAUGUAGGUGAAGUCCCUCGCGGAUGGAGCUGAAAUCAGUCGAAGAUACCAGCUGGCUGCAACUGUUUAUUAAAAACACAGCACUGUGCAAACACGAAAGUGGACGUAUACGGUGUGACGCCUGCCCGGUGCCGGAAGGUUAAUUGAUGGGGUCAGCGCAAGCGAAGCUCUUGAUCGAAGCCCCGGUAAACGGCGGCCGUAACUAUAACGGUCCUAAGGUAGCGAAAUUCCUUGUCGGGUAAGUUCCGACCUGCACGAAUGGCGUAAUGAUGGCCAGGCUGUCUCCACCCGAGACUCAGUGAAAUUGAACUCGCUGUGAAGAUGCAGUGUACCCGCGGCAAGACGGAAAGACCCCGUGAACCUUUACUAUAGCUUGACACUGAACAUUGAGCCUUGAUGUGUAGGAUAGGUGGGAGGCUUUGAAGUGUGGACGCCAGUCUGCAUGGAGCCGACCUUGAAAUACCACCCUUUAAUGUUUGAUGUUCUAACGUUGACCCGUAAUCCGGGUUGCGGACAGUGUCUGGUGGGUAGUUUGACUGGGGCGGUCUCCUCCUAAAGAGUAACGGAGGAGCACGAAGGUUGGCUAAUCCUGGUCGGACAUCAGGAGGUUAGUGCAAUGGCAUAAGCCAGCUUGACUGCGAGCGUGACGGCGCGAGCAGGUGCGAAAGCAGGUCAUAGUGAUCCGGUGGUUCUGAAUGGAAGGGCCAUCGCUCAACGGAUAAAAGGUACUCCGGGGAUAACAGGCUGAUACCGCCCAAGAGUUCAUAUCGACGGCGGUGUUUGGCACCUCGAUGUCGGCUCAUCACAUCCUGGGGCUGAAGUAGGUCCCAAGGGUAUGGCUGUUCGCCAUUUAAAGUGGUACGCGAGCUGGGUUUAGAACGUCGUGAGACAGUUCGGUCCCUAUCUGCCGUGGGCGCUGGAGAACUGAGGGGGGCUGCUCCUAGUACGAGAGGACCGGAGUGGACGCAUCACUGGUGUUCGGGUUGUCAUGCCAAUGGCACUGCCCGGUAGCUAAAUGCGGAAGAGAUAAGUGCUGAAAGCAUCUAAGCACGAAACUUGCCCCGAGAUGAGUUCUCCCUGACUCCUUGAGAGUCCUGAAGGAACGUUGAAG